GAAACAUGUCACGGAUGAGUCUAAGCAACCUGUUUCAGCCUGUUCUCCCUCCUAGCUGCAAUAAUAAUGUCAACAGCCCCCAGGAAGGUGCUUACUUGUGACUGACUGCCUGUUCCAGACUGGAUUUCACGCUUCUCUUACACUUGGUGGCCUUGGUGAGACUCACCAACACAGCACAGGGACACACCUGAGCCACUCUGAUGCUGGAGUGCAUGUUUGCUGGCUUCCUCC
rnacentral:lncRNA from 1 species